CGACGGGAACUCCUGCUUCGGACUUCAAGUCUCUACUGUGGCUGUGCCCUUGGCUGACAGGAAACUGUUCCAUGAGGCCACCAUUCCUCAAACCUUCGUCCCUUGGUUGAUGACACAACAAAUUACGUACAAUCUAGAAACCUGGGAGUGACUCUUGACAUGGCAGUGAGGACAGUACCAUCUAAGAAUAACACUGAGGUUGUACGGAUGACUGCUCCUGUGUUUCAUUUUCAAUGAAGCAAGAACCAUAUGGUCGUCUUUAAUGAAGACAACUCUGACGACAAAAUCUUGGCCCUCUUUCCUGCUACUUGUAAUGAAAAAUUUUGCAUUUUCCAAAGAAUCUGAAUGACA